AUCCAGCUGACGAGUCCCAAAUAGGAAAAAACUCACGUCCUGUAU
rnacentral:hammerhead_ribozyme from 1 species